ACGAUAGUCGAGAGGAGAGGUAGCUUGAAAAUCCAUAUAUAUAGGAUGCAAUCCCGUAACCGUACUAGCAGCGGUUUGUGCUUGAUCCAAAGUUACUGUUUUCAAAGAAUUUUCCGGUAUGGGCUCUUGAACCGCCGUCAUGUUUCCUAGCCCGUACAUUUGUUCACGAGGUUUAUUGCUCAUUGAAGGUUUGUCCAUACGACUGGAAGUCAUAAACGACCUACCGUAAACUCCAAGACUCUGUCUAACAUUAUUAAUAUCCUGACUCUCUCGCUUGACAAAAAAUAAAGCACUUCGUAGUUCAAGAAGGCA